UAUGUAGGCAGCAAGCGUUGUUCGGAGUUACUGGGCGUAAAGGGUGCGUAGGCGGCCUUAUAAGUAUGGUGUGAAAUCUCCCGGCUUAACUGGGAGGGUGCGCUAUAGACUGUGGGGCUAGAGUGUGGGAGAGGAAAGUGGAAUUCCUGGUGUAGCGGUGAAAUGCGUAGAUAUCGUCUGGAACGCCGAAGGUGAAAACAGCUCGCUGGGGCUGCGCUGACGCUGAGACACGAAAGCCAGGGGAGCGAACGGG
rnacentral:rRNA from 1 species